AGAUUGAACGCUGGCGGCAGGCCUAACACAUGCAAGUCGAGCGGUAGAGAGGUGCUUGCACCUCUUGAGAGCGGCGGACGGGUGAGUAAUGCCUAGGAUCUGCCUAGUGGUGGGGGAUAACGUUCGGAAACGGACGCUAAUACCGCAUACGUCCUACGGGAGAAAGCGGGGACCUUCGGGCCUCGCGCCAUUAGAUGAGCCUAGGUCGAUUAGCUAGUUGGUGAGGUAAUGGCUCACCAAGGCGACGAUCCGUAACUGGUCUGGAGAGGAUGAUCGAGUCACGACUAGGAACUGGACGACCGACGGUCCAGUACCUCCGUACGGGAGCAGCGAGGUAGGGAAUUAGUAGGAACAAGUGGGACAAAGGCCUAGACUCCG
rnacentral:rRNA from 1 species